AGAGUUUGAUCCUGGCUCAGGAUGAACGCUAGCUACAGGCUUAACACAUGCAAGUCGAGGGAACGAUAUUGGAAGCUUGCUUCCGAUAGGCGUCGACCGGCGCACGGGUGAGUAACGCGUAUCCAACCUGCCCAUCACUUGGGGAUAACCUUGCGAAAGUAAGACUAAUACCCAAUGAUAUCUCUAGAAGACAUCUGAAAGAGAUUAAAGAUUUAUCGGUGAUGGAUGGGGAUGCGUCUGAUUAGCUUGUUGGCGGGGUAACGGCCCACCAAGGCGACGAUCAGUAGGGUUCUGAGAGGAAGGUCCCCCACAUUGGAACUGAGACACGGUCCAAACUCCUACGGGAGGCAGCAGUGAGGAAUAUUGGUCAAUGGGCGAGAGCCUGAACCAGCCAAGUAGCGUGCAGGAUGACGGCCUAUGGGUUGUAAACUGCUUUUAUAAGGGAAUAAAGUGAGUCUCGUGAGACUUUUUGCAUGUACCUUAUGAAUAAGGACCGGCUAAUUCCGUG
rnacentral:rRNA from 1 species